ensembl:snRNA U2 U2 spliceosomal RNA
GUCGCUUCUUGGCCUUUUGGCUAAGAUCAAGUGUACUAUAAAGCAAACUCCUUCCAAGUGAUUCAACAGAUCUCAUUACUUAGGGUUUCUUUGUGUCGUAUUUAUUCUUAUCAUAAUAAAAUGAAAGUUCUAUUCCAUUGCAUUCCAUUGUUAAGACUUUACCACUU